rnacentral:rRNA from 1 species
CAGAGGGUGCAAACGUUGUUCGGAAUUACUGGGCGUAAAGCGUGUGUAGGCGGCCAAGCAAGUCGGAUGUGAAAGCCCUGGGCUCAACCCAGGAAGUGCACUCGAUACUGCCUGGCUCGAGUAUCGGAGAGGUUGGUGGAAUUCUCGGUGUAGAGGUGAAAUUCGUAGAUAUCGAGAGGAACACCGGUGGCGAAGGCGGCCAACUGGACGAAUACUGACGCUGAGACACGAAAGCGUGGGGAGCAAACAGGAUUAGAUACCCUGGUAGUCCACGCCGUAAACGAUGGGUGCUAGGUGUCACGGGCUUUGACUCCUGUGGUGCCGUAGCAAACGCAUUAAGCACCCCGCCUGGGAAGUACGGCCGCAAGGCUA